AGGGUCUGUUUCUGGAAGAACCAAAGCUGGAGGUGAACACUGAGAUAAGUAGCAGACACUGCCCGUAUGCUCCCCUGCCCUGACGUUUGGAGAAAAGACAAACGCCGAGACGAAGUGGCAAGAGCUUCUUUUCUCCUUCCCCCGUGCCUGCUGCUUAAUCAAUAUCAAAGUCCUGCUGCCAAGAGUGAUGAAUGGCUCAGGGGCAUCACAGGUUGGUGGCUCCUAGUGCCAUGUGAGCUGGCAGCUGCCACUGCCGUACCACCUGUGACCCACAUGUGUCUUUCUGAGAUGGCCAAAAACAAACUUUCUCUUCAAAUGUUGCUUUUUACCCAAUGUUGAUCAACAAAGUUAAUUAGUCAUUAACCUCCAGGUAUUCAAUUAGGUUUUUAGGCUUUAUUAGAUGGAGGUGCCCUAAAACUAAAUUCCCUUUUUUGAAAGAUAAAAGUUGCUUUAUAGCCAGUGAUGGACACCAGGGUGGCUGGCGCACAGGGAGGAAGAGAAAGGACCAUGAGAUGAAGGUGCAUGAGCUGGGGUCAUACCACGCAGAGCCUCUUCAACCAUUCUUGAGAGACGAGAGAGAGAGAGAGAGAUUUAAAUUCUAAGUGUAAUGAGAUGGAACUGAAAGCUCUGAAGAGACAGAGUGUCAUGACACAAUUUAAUAUUUAAAAGGAUCUUUCUGGCCUAGGGCAGAAAGAACAUCAUAGAGACAUACUAGGAAAUUGUGAUAAACAUCCAGGAAAGGGUAGAUCACAGUAUGUGAUAUGGUUUGGAUCUGUGUCCCUGCCCAAAUCUUAUGUUAAGUUGCAAUCCCCAGUGUUGGAGGAGGGGCCUGGUGGGAGGUGAUUGGGUCAUGAGGGUGGAUUUCCUUCUUGCUGUUCUCAUGAUAAUGAGUAAGUUCUCAGAUCUGGUUGUUUAAAAGUAUGUAGCCCAUCCCCCUUCACUCUCUUCCUCCUUCUCUGACCAUGUAAGAUGUGCCUGCUUCCCCUUCACCUUCCACCAUGAUUGUAAGUUUCCUGAGGUCUCCGCAGUCAUGCUUUCUGUACAGCCUGCAGAACUGUGAGUCAAUUAAACCCCUUUUAUUUAUAAAUUACCCAGUCUCAGGUAG
rnacentral:lncRNA from 10 species